CUUGUAUUUGCAUAUUGACCCAUCUGGAUUGAGUUUUGUUUUAAAAACUCAUCUUACACCUAUCACUUUGCGAUGCUUAGGCCUUUCAAUCAACUGCCAUGUUGCAUUUUUGUUGAUCAUUUCCAUUUCUGCCUCCAUUGCUCUCCUCCAUGCUGGAAAUUCUUGAGCUUCAGUAUAGCUGGUUGGUUCUAGAAUUGCCAUGUUGCAUCUUAGGUGAAUAUCUUCCAAUGAUCUUGUGCCUCUAACUGGAAAGUCAUCCACUGAUUCAUCAGCUACCAGCUGAGGUUGAAUGGUGAAUGGUUGAUCAGAAAUCAUAUUUUUCUGAUGUUCCCAAUCCCAUGUGAUUGCUUCAUCAACCUUCACAUCUCUGCUGAGAAUUACCUUCUCUGUUUGUAAGCAAAGGAUUCUGUAUCCUUUGGUAGUUAUUCCAUAGCCCACAAGAACUCCCUUCUGAGCUUUGUUGUCAAGUUUGCUCCUCUUUGGCUUAGCUAUAUGAUAAUAACAUAUGCUGCCAAAGAUUCGAAGAUGAUCUACAGCAGGUUUGACACCAUUCCAGCCUUCAUAUGGUGUCUUGUCCUCCAGUGCUUUGGUUGGAAGUCGGUUCAGCAAGUAAACAGAGUGUACUGGUGCACAAUGCCUCUGCUGUUGCAAAACUCAAGAAACUGAUUUGAGAACACUUGUUCUCCAGAAGGAUCAAAGAUAGUGCAUUUAUGAUCCUUAAACUGAAAAGAAUAGUUUUUCUCCAUCAUUUGUCCAACACUCAACAAAUUUUGACUGAUUUCAGAAAUUCUCCAUUGCCAACCUUUACUCUGGAUUUGUAAGAUUCAUCAAGGGUUUUGAACAUUCCAGCAUCAUUGCACAAAUGGUGUGUGCAUCCACUAUCGAUAAGCCAAGUAUCAGUUGAAUCAUUUGUUGAGAAACAAGUGACAGCAAAGAAUUGCUCCUCCUGUGUAUCAACUUCAUCCGUAAGUGAGUGCAAGGAGGAAACUUCUUCUGUUUUGAACCUUCACUGGUGUUGCCCCCUUCAUUUUUGCCUUUACUUCUCAGAUUAAGCAACUUCUUUCCUUUUACAGCUUGUUGUUUUUGCACAUAAAAGGCUCUUUCUGUCAAUCUGUCUUGCCUGAUUGUUCUUCGUUGCUCCUGUGCAUGAAGAGCACUCAUUAGUUCACCUAAUGAGAUUUUACUGAGGUCCUUUGAUUCUUCCAGAGAGGAGAUUUUGGAUUCAAACCUCUCAGGAAGAGUCACAAGAACCUUCUCCACAAUCCUGCUGUCAGGAAAGUCUUCUCCAAGUAAUCUGAUGUUGUUGAUAAUUAGUGAAAUUCGAUCAGAAUACUUGGAGAUUGUUUCAUCUUCUUGCAUGUUAAGUGCCUCAGAAUCUCUCUUCAAAUUCAGCACUUGCAUUUGCCUUGUUCUGUCACUGCCUUGGUAUUCUUCUUUUAGUUUGUUCCAAGCCUCUUUGGCUGAAUUGCAUGCCAUAAUUCUGUAGAAAAUGCUUUCUGCCACAGAAUUCUGGAUGAUUGAUUUUGCCUUGGAUUUCUUUGCCUUUUCCUCACUACUGAACUUGAUUUGAGCCAUAGUGGGAUUUGUUGGUAAGGGAGCUACUGGUUUGUCUUCGGAAACAAUUUCCCAAAGAUCAUAAGCUUCAAGAAAAGCUUGCAUCUUCACUGACCAAAUGUGGUAGUUUUUGCCAGUGAAUAUAAUGGGGGAGUUUAAAAGUAGGUUGUUGGAUGUCAUUUUUUUGAGAUUUUUGAAAAAAAUGUUUUGGUCCUAUAAGAUCUAAAAGAGCUCUGAUACCACUGUUGAGAAUUAUGUUGCUAUGUUUUGUGCAGGUGAAGGGAUGCACAAUCAAGAACAACAAUGCUGAGUAAUGAAGAACACGAACUACACACAAGGUGUUUGAUAAAAUGUCUCAAUGAGUAUUUCAUUAACUGCAUGUCUUUAAAUACAUGAGAAAACUUAACAAACUUCCCUAGUUAUCAGCCACUAACUUUGUAGUGGACAAUGUGCUACCACUAACUCUGUAGUGGACAAUGUGCUUCCACUCACUCAGCAACAACUUCAGAAAAACAAGGGAUUUACUUUGACCAAAUCAAAACAGAAAUGAAAAGAAAAGAAAACAGACAAUACUUGAU